rnacentral:rRNA from 1 species
UACGUAGGGUGCAAGCGUUGUCCGGAAUUAUUGGGCGUAAAGAGCUCGUAGGCGGCUUGUCACGUCGGGUGUGAAAGCUCGGGGCUUAACCCCGGGUCUGCAUUCGAUACGGGCUGGCUGGAGUGUGGUAGGGGAGAUCGGAAUUCCUGGUGUAGCGGUGAAAUGCGCAGAUAUCAGGAGGAACACCGGUGGCGAAGGCGGAUCUCUGGGCCAUUACUGACGCUGAGGAGCGAAAGCGUGGGGAGCGAACAGG